GGAGAGAUGGCCAAGUGGUUGAUGGCUCUGGUCUUGAAAACCAAUAUAGUUAAAAACAUAUCGAGGGUUCGAAUCCCUCUCUCUCCU
rnacentral:tRNA from 1 species